AGAGUUUGAUCCUGGCUCAGGCUGGCGGCGUGCCUAACACAUGCAAGUCGAGCGAUGAAGUUCCUUCGGGAAACGGAUUAGCGGCGGACGGGUGAGUAACACGUGGGUAACCUGCCUUAUAGUGGGGGAUAGCCUUUCGAAAGGAAGAUUAAUACCGCAUAAGAUUGUAGUAUCGCAUGAUAUAGCAAUUAAAGGAGCAAUUCGCUAUAAGAUGGACCCGCGUCGCAUUAGCUAGUUGGUGAGGUAAUGGCUCACCAAGGCGACGAUGCGUAGCCGACCUGAGAGGGUGAUCGGCCACAUUGGGACUGAGACACGGCCCAGACUCCUACGGGAGGCAGCAGUGGGGAAUAUUGCACAAUGGGCGAAAGCCUGAUGCAGCAACGCCGCGUGAGUGAUGACGGCCUUCGGGUUGUAAAACUCUGUCUUCAGGGACGAUAAUGACGGUACCUGAGG
rnacentral:rRNA from 1 species